rnacentral:rRNA from 1 species
CGCUGGCGGCGUGCUUACACAUGCAAGUCGAACGGGAUCCAUCAAGCUUGCUUGGUGGUGAGAGUGGCGAACGGGUGGUAAUGCGUGACCGACCUGCCCCAUACACCGGAAUAGCUCCUGGAAACGGGUGGUAAUGCCGGAUGUUCCAGUUGAUCGCAUGGUCUUCUGGGAAAGCUUUCGCGGUAUGGGAUGGGGUCGCGUCCUAUCAGUUGACGGCGGGGUAACGGCCCACCGUGGCUUCGACGGGUAGCCGGCCUGAGAGGGCGACCGGCCACAUUGGGACUGAGAUACGGCCCAGACUCCUACGGGAGGCAGCAGUGGGGAAUAUUGCACAAUGGGCGCAAGCCUGAUGCAGCGACGCCGCGUGAGGGAUGGAGGCCUUCGGGUUGUAAACCUCUUUUAUCGGGGAGCAAGCGUGAGUGAGUGUACCUUUCGAAUAAGCACCGGCUAACUACGUGCCAGCAGCCGCGG